rnacentral:rRNA from 1 species
UACGUAGGUGGCAAGCGUUGUCCGGAUUUACUGGGCGUAAAGAGCGCGCAGGCGGUCGGAUCAGUCGAAUGUGAAAGCCCCCGGCUCAACUGGGGAGGGUCAUUCGAUACUGUUCGACUCGAAGGCAGGAGAGGGAAGCGGAAUUCCCGGUGUAGUGGUGAAAUGCGUAGAGAUGUGGAGGAACACCGAUGGCGAAGGCAGCCCCCUGGGCUGAGAUUGACGCUCAGGCACGAAAGCGUGGGGAGCAAACAGG